rnacentral:lncRNA from 1 species
AGCCGUCAGGAAUCCAAGUUUGCACGCGAGCGCGUCCUAGCGAGCCAUGUCGGGCCCACCAAUCAGAGAAAACAACGGUAACUCCUCUUCCUUCUCUCUCACUUCCGUCUUUGAUAUUACUACCCUGCCAUAAAAAAGUAAACUAGUGUGCGUGAAUCCAUGUACAACCCAGAGAUGAUGCCAUCCUUAUAGCUCUACAUAAGCAAAUCAACAUGAACACUGAUUAAUGAAGAGGGAGAGGGGAAUCGUCGUCUGGUGAGACGACGGCAUGCCGCAUGCAGGCGCUCCUGCUCCGAGAAGCAAUAUGCAUCCUCUCGUCCCGGCAACAGCGCUGCCUGAUCUGUGAUCUACUGCGGCUAUGCUUCUUUUGGCGGGGAAAAUCAGCAAAGGCGGAGUAGCCUAC